UAGGGAAUAUUGGACAAUGGGCGAAAGCCUGAUCCAGCAAUGCCGCGUGAGUGAUGAAGGCCUUAGGGUUGUAAAGCUCUUUUACCCGGGAUGAUAAUGACAGUACCGGGAGAAUAAGCUCCGGCUAACUCCGUG
rnacentral:rRNA from 1 species